rnacentral:misc_RNA from 1 species
GUAGGUGAACCUGCGGAAGGAUCAUUAUCGUUGGGCUUCGGCCCAUUCGAGAUAACACCCUUGCCUUUUUGAGUACCUUUUCGUUUCCUCGGCAGGCUCGCCUGCCAACGGGGACAACUAAAACGCUUUGUAAUACCUGUAAUUGUCUGAUAUAACAAGCAAAAAUUAAAACUUUCAACAACGGAUCUCUUGGUUCUG